rnacentral:rRNA from 1 species
GACGAACGCUGGCGGCGUGCUUAACACAUGCAAGUCGAACGAUGAAGCUAGAGCUUGCUCUGGUGGAUUAGUGGCGAACGGGUGAGUAACACGUGAGUAACCUGCCCCGAACUCUGGGAUAACUGCUGGAAACGGUAGCUAAUACCGGAUAUGACCAAUGAAGGCAUCUUCUGUUGGUGGAAAGAAUUUCGGUUCGGGAUGGACUCGCGGCCUAUCAGCUUGUUGGUGAGGUAACGGCUCACCAAGGCGACGACGGGUAGCCGGCCUGAGAGGGUGAUCGGCCACACUGGGACUGAGACACGGCCCAGACUCCUACGGGGGGCAGCAGUGGGGAAUAUUGCACAAUGGGCGAAAGCCUGAUGCAGCAACGCCGCGUGGGGGACGACGGCCUUCGGGUUGUAAACCUCUUUUAGCAGGGAAGAAGCGAAAGUGACGGUACCUGCAGAAAAAGCGCCGGCUAACUACGUGCCAGCAGCCGCCGUAA